GCGCGCCGGCCAGCUAGCCCCUUUGUGCGGCGGGGGCGGCGGAGUGCUCCCUCCAAGACCGGUUGCACCCCGCUUUCCUGGCCAGGACUCUGGCGCGCUAAGGAGGCGCGGCAGCUACAAAGACGACGCCGGCUGCGCUCGCGGGACCAGAGGGAGGGAGGCUGCGGACGAGUGCGGGGAGGAGUUUGAGAUGGGAGGCGCUUGCAGGGGCUCCCCCAGUUCUGCGCUGUGAGCCGGGGCACAAAGAGCCCUCUGCACUCGCGCCGCAGGACCGCGGACCCAAGUUGGAGGCAUCUGUCCACCCAUGUGGUUCCAGACACGUUCAUGUGGCCACCAAGACCCCGUCGGCAUCACAGGAGUAACCAAGAGAGCAGCAAGUUCCUGGGACAGAGGAGAGAGAAGGGAAUUUCCAGGUUCUUCAGGACGUUCACAACCACACUGAGAAGCAUCUUUGCAGAUAAGUAUUUAAACUUACCAGCCCAUAGCCUACCAGCCUGCCCUCUUCUGGUCUGUGCAGGAAAGUGUAGUAUCCUAGAAUACCAAAGUGGGAGGGGAAACGGGUGAUGUAGCUCAUUCUCUUUUCUACCUCUAUGGAAGAAAGAAAGA
rnacentral:lncRNA from 1 species